rnacentral:lncRNA from 1 species
GAGUUUUAUAGCAUAACUGAAAAAGUUUCAUGAUUUUUGGAAGCCAUCUUAUAGGUAACCCGCUUAUGUGAAAACUGAAAUAUAGCUUUCCAGAAAGAAUUUUUAUUCAAAUCUACAAUAGCUAUGAUGUUUAGAUAUAAAAAAAUGGAUUGCUAUAAUUUAUAUCAUCAACCAAAAAAAUAAGAUUUUUGAAAAUCAUCUUUAUAUAGGAUAAACAACUCACAUGACAACUUAAAUAUUGCUUUUUGGGAAGAAUAUAUAUUUCUAAUCUACAAUAGCUAUGCUAUUGUUGGUGGUUACUAGAACUCAACAAGUGUAGGGGUUCUUAGGCUUUCAAAGGCUACCUAUAAAAGUAACUAGGUGACCGAGUGACUAGAAUUCAAUCUGCCUCCUAAAUAGCUUGCUAUCCUCCUAAUUUAUUGCCCGCACCAAGAGAUCUGUGGAGUUGAAAAGAUCUAAAUACCCCCC